GACGAACCGUGCGAACGUUGUUCGGAAUCACUGGGCUUAAAGGGCGCGUAGGCGGGCUACCAAGUCUGUGGUGAAAUCCCCCGGCUCAACCGGGGAACGGCCGUGGAUACUGGGAGCCUCGAGGGAGAUAGGGGCAGGCGGAACUGAUGGUGGAGCGGUGAAAUGCGUUGAUAUCCACAGGAACUCCGGUGGCGAAGGCGGCACGCUGGACCCCCACUGACGCUGAGGCGCGAAAGCCAGGGGAGCGAACGGG
rnacentral:rRNA from 1 species